AUUCAACUGGUGAGUCCUAAAUAGGAUGAAAUGCGUGUCCUGGAU
rnacentral:hammerhead_ribozyme from 1 species